ensembl:lncRNA
GAGGGAGAGGGCUGAGGAGGGGUGAGGGAGAGGGCUGAGGAGGGGUGAGGGAGAGGCCUGAGGAGGGGUGAGGGAGAGGACUGAGGAGGGGUGAGGGAGAGGGCUGAGGAGGGGUGAGAGAGAGGACUGAGGAGGGGUGAGGGGUGAGGGAGAGGACUGAGGAGGGGUGAGGGAGAGGGGUGAGGGAGAGGACUGAGGAGGGGUGAGGGAUAGGGGUGAGGGAGAGGACUGAGGAGGGGUGAGGGAGAGGGGUGAGGGAUAGGGGUGAGGGAGAGGACUGAGGAGGAGUGAGGGAGAGGACUGAGGAGGGGUGAUGGAGAGGACUGAGGAGAGGACUUAGGAGGGGUGAGGGAGAAGACUGAGGAGGGGUGAGGGAGAGGACUGAGGAGGGGAGAGGGGUGAGGGAGAGGACUGAGGAGGGGAGAGGGGUGAGGGAGAGGACUGAGGAGGGGUGAGGGAGAGGACUGAGGAGAGGACUUAGGAGGGGUGAGGGAGAAGACUGAGGAGGGGUGAGGGAGAGGACUGAGGAGGGGUGAGGGAGAGGACUGAGGAGGGGACUUAGGAGGGGUGAGGGAGAAGACUGAGGAGGGGUGAGGGAGAGGACUGAGGAGGGGAGAGGGGUGAGGGAGAGGACUGAG